rnacentral:rRNA from 1 species
UACAGAGGGUGCGAGCGUUAAUCGGAAUUACUGGGCGUAAAGUGUGCGCAGGCGGCACCGCAAGUCGAGUGUGAAAGCCCCGGGCUUAACUUGGGAAUUGCGCUCGAAACUAUGGUGCUGGAGUGUGGCAGAGGAAGGUGGAAUUCCACGUGUAGCGGUGAAAUGCGUAGAGGAUGUGGAGGAACACCGAUGGCGAAGGCAGCCUUCUGGGGCCCAA